UACGUAGGGGGCAAGCGUUGUCCGGAAUUAUUGGGCGUAAAGAGCGUGUAGGCGGUCCGGUAAGUCGGCUGUGAAAGUCCAGGGCUCAACCCUGGGAUGCCGGUCGAUACUGCCGGACUAGAGUUCGGAAGAGGCGAGUGGAAUUCCCGGUGUAGCGGUGAAAUGCGCAGAUAUCGGGAGGAACACCUAUGGCGAAGGCAGCUCGCUGGGACGUUACUGACGCUGGAGGCUACGAAAGCGUGGGGAGCAAACAGG
rnacentral:rRNA from 1 species